AAGACUAUAGACCUGCGGAGUACCUGCGGAGGGAUCAUUACUGAGUGAGGGCCCUCUGGGUCCAACCUCCCACCCGUGUUUAUUGUACCUUGUUGCUUCGGCGAGCCCGCCUCACGGCCGCCGGGGGGCAUUUGCCCCCGGGCCCGCGCCCGCCGAAGACAUCAUUGAACUCUGUCUGAAGAUUGCAGUCUGAGUAGAUUAGCUAAAUCAGUUAAAACUUUCAACAACGGAUCUCUAGAU
rnacentral:misc_RNA from 1 species